GAUACUUUUCAGGGGUUCUAAUGAGCUCAAAACUAUAUUGGCCAGACAGGUGCAAAAAUAAAUCCUCUUUUGCAACCCAGAACUCAUUGUUCAGUAUGAGUUUUGAUACAUAUAAGAAGGAACAUG